rnacentral:rRNA from 1 species
GGAUGCGAUCAUACCAGCACUAAUGCCACCGGAUCCCAUCAGAACUCCGAAGUUAAGCGUGCUUUGGGCGAGAGUAGUACUAGGAUGGGUGACCCCCUGGGAAGUCCUCGUGUUGCAUCCC